UACGUAGGGUGCAAGCGUUGUCCGGAAUUAUUGGGCGUAAAGAGCUCGUAGGCGGUUUGUCGCGUCUGCUGUGAAAACUGGGGGCUCAACCCCCCAGCCUGCAGUGGGUACGGGCAGACUAGAGUGCGGUAGGGGAGACUGGAAUUCCUGGUGCAGCGGUGAAAUGCGCAGAUAUCAGGAGGAACACCGGUGGCGAAGGCGGGUCUCUGGGCCGAUACUGACGCUGAGGAGCGAAAGCGUGGGGAGCGAACAGG
rnacentral:rRNA from 1 species